rnacentral:rRNA from 2 species
UUGAAGAGUUUGAUCAUGGCUCAGAUUGAACGCUGGCGGCAGGCCUAACACAUGCAAGUCGAACGGUAACAGGAAGCAGCUUGCUGCUUUGCUGACGAGUGGCGGACGGGUGAGUAAUGUCUGGGAAACUGCCUGAUGGAGGGGGAUAACUACUGGAAACGGUGGCUAAUACCGCAUAACGUCGCAAGACCAAAGAGGGGGACCUUCGGGCCUCUUGCCAUCAGAUGUGCCCAGAUGGGAUUAGCUGGUUGGUGAGGUAACGGCUCACCAAGGCGACGAUCCCUAGCUGGUCUGAGAGGAUGACCAGCCACACUGGAACUGAGACACGGUCCAGACUCCUACGGGAGGCAGCAGUGGGGAAUAUUGCACAAUGGGCGCAAGCCUGAUGCAGCCAUGCCGCGUGUAUGAAGAAGGCCUUCGGGUUGUAAAGUACUUUCAGCGGGGAGGAAGGUGUUGUGGUUAAUAACCGCAGCAAUUGACGUUACCCGCAGAAGAAGCACCGGCUAACUCCGUGCCAGCAGCCGCGGUAAUACGGAGGGUGCAAGCGUUAAUCGGAAUUACUGGGCGUAAAGCGCACGCAGGCGGUCUGUCAAGUCGGAUGUGAAAUCCCCGGGCUCAACCUGGGAACUGCAUUCGAAACUGGCAGGCUUGAGUCUUGUAGAGGGGGGUAGAAUUCCAGGUGUAGCGGUGAAAUGCGUAGAGAUCUGGAGGAAUACCGGUGGCGAAGGCGGCCCCCUGGACAAAGACUGACGCUCAGGUGCGAAAGCGUGGGGAGCAAACAGGAUUAGAUACCCUGGUAGUCCACGCCGUAAACGAUGUCUACUUGGAGGUUGUGCCCUUGAGGCGUGGCUUCCGGAGCUAACGCGUUAAGUAGACCGCCUGGGGAGUACGGCCGCAAGGUUAAAACUCAAAUGAAUUGACGGGGGCCCGCACAAGCGGUGGAGCAUGUGGUUUAAUUCGAUGCAACGCGAAGAACCUUACCUGGUCUUGACAUCCACAGAAGAAUCCAGAGAUGGAUUUGUGCCUUCGGGAACUGUGAGACAGGUGCUGCAUGGCUGUCGUCAGCUCGUGUUGUGAAAUGUUGGGUUAAGUCCCGCAACGAGCGCAACCCUUAUCCUUUGUUGCCAGCGAUUAGGUCGGGAACUCAAAGGAGACUGCCAGUGAUAAACUGGAGGAAGGUGGGGAUGACGUCAAGUCAUCAUGGCCCUUACGACCAGGGCUACACACGUGCUACAAUGGCGCAUACAAAGAGAAGCGACCUCGCGAGAGCAAGCGGACCUCAUAAAGUGCGUCGUAGUCCGGAUUGGAGUCUGCAACUCGACUCCAUGAAGUCGGAAUCGCUAGUAAUCGUGGAUCAGAAUGCCACGGUGAAUACGUUCCCGGGCCUUGUACACACCGCCCGUCACACCAUGGGAGUGGGUUGCAAAAGAAGUAGGUAGCUUAACCUUCGGGAGGGCGCUUACCACUUUGUGAUUCAUGACUGGGGUGAAGUCGUAACAAGGUAACCGUAGGGGAACCUGCGGUUGGAUCACCUCCUU